UCGAUCUGCCAAAACGACAGUUCAAAUUGACGCAAAUACAUUUGAGAUGGACGAAACUUCAAAAUUCCUGUAACUGCAAUGUACUGAACCCAACAACCAAAAAUGGCAGCAUACCAAAGACUUCCUUUCCGAAUCGUUGAGGAACUGAACGACCUAGCCGACAGGAUAAGACUUCACGUGGUGGCCACAACGAGCAGAGCUAAGGGAGGUCAUCCAACCUCUUGUUCCUCCAAGGCGGAAAUCCUCUCUGCGUUGUUCUUCCAGGUGAUGAGAUACAAAGUAUCGAACCUCAAAGAUCCUUGUAGCGAUCGGAUGGUUUUAUCCAAGGGACAUGCAGCACCAGCCCUCUACGCUGUAUGGGCUGAAGUUGGUCUUUUCCCAACGGCAGAACUGAUGAAUUUCCGAAAAUUUGGUUGGUAUCUCGAAGGCCAUCCAACCCCAAAAUUGGACUUUAUAGACGUGGCAACUGGAGGUCUAGGACAUGGGUUGUCCCACGCGGCUGGUAUGGCUUAUAUGGGGAAAUAUUUGGACAAGGCAGCUUUCAGGGUCUACUGCAUCGUCGGUGAUGGUGAAACAUCGGAAGGAAUGUUCUGGGAAUCUGUUAAUUUCUGUAGCUACUACGAGUUGGACAACCUGUGCCUUGUUGUGGAUGUCAACAGACUUGGAAGAUCUGAUCAGACGCCGUUUGGAUAUGACUGCGAUGUUUACAGGAGAAGAUUCGACGCUUUUGGGUGGUUUCCAAUAGUUGUUGACGGACAUAACGUCGACGAACUGUGUAAAAGUUUCCACAACGCUAGUCUAACCAAAGGAAAACCAUCAGUACUCAUAGCUAAGACCACAAAAGGAAAGAAUUUCCCGGAAAUCGAAAACGAGAGUCAUUGGCACGGUAAACACCUAGGUGAAAAGACAGAUAAUGUCAUGAAAUCCCUAAAGAGGAUGAUAAGGAACACGAUGGCGCUCAAGAUCAGCCAUCAGAAACCGUUAAAAGACGCGUUACCAAGGGUUCAUCUCACCGACAUCAAACUAGCGUCGGCGCCUUUAUACAAGUUCGGGGAAAAGAUCAAUACAAGAUCUGCUUUCGCCUCCGCUUUGGUAAAGCUCGGCCAAAUGAAUCCAAGGAUACUGGUCAUGGACUCAGACUGCCAAAACGUCUCCUACACCAACGAUUUCAAAGUGUUCGAUCCUUCCAGAUUCAUCCAGUGCUUCUCCGCCGAGCAGAACAUGAUUGGCGUGGCCGUUGGUCUUGCUUCCAGAGGUCGUUCGAUAGUUUUCUGUGUCACCUACGCCUCGGCUCUCACCAAAGCCCACGACUGCAUCAGAAUGGCUGCCAUAUCCCGCAGUCGCAUAAACAUAGCUGGGAUCCACGCUGGUGUAAGUGCUGCCGAAGAUGGAGCGUGUGUAGCUGGGCUAGAAGAUUUGGCUCUCUUCAGAUCUGUACCAGACUGUGUCAUAUUUUAUCCCAGCGAUGCUAUAUCCACUGAAAGAGCUGUAGAACUUGCUGCUAACUAUCCAGGUUUAACAUAUAUCAGACUGACCAGACCAGCAGUUCCUGUGAUCUACUCCACGAGGCAAGUGUUCGAGAUUGGCAAAGCUAACUUGGUACGAGAGAACAUCAAAGAUAAGAUCUUGGUGGUUACUGGAGGAGUGACAUUAUCCACUGUGAUAGAAGCCUAUGAGGAACUGCUGAGAAUCGAUAUUUUCCUAAGGGUUAUGGACGUUUUUACGGUGAAACCAAUAGAUAAGGAUGGUAUCAUCAAGCAUGGGAGGGAGUGCAACAAUAGGAUAUUGGUGGUGGAAGAUCAUUAUCACGAAGGUGGUUUGGGUGAGGCUGUGAAAUCUGCUGUGGCUGGUGAAGAGGAUAUGGCUGUCAAACAUAUUGCCAUAAAUUCGAUUCCCGGUUCUGGAGCCAUGUGCGACCAAUUUGAGCAUUACAGUUUGACUUGCGACGGCGUUAAAAAUGGUAUAGGAGAACUGCUUUGUAUCUGUGAUCCUUGUCUCUGAUAUUUCAGUAUUUUGAAGGGGAAGAGAAUCUUUGAUGUGACUGUUGUGAAGUCCUGCGAUGAUACUACACCAAUAGUGAUGACAAAUUAUACCAAACACGUUUAUGGUAGAGAUAACCGUACUGUUGAUAUGUACUUUACUGUCAGAAAAGAAGUUAAGACAUUUUUUGGUGUUACGAGUUUGGUCAAGUGCGAUCUCUCUGGUUCCCAGAAUUCUUGUGAGUAUUUCGUCAAAGACUUUAAAACUGGAGAUCUAUGUUUGAAAAUGAGCCAGAAAGGACAAGUUUGGAGCUCCCUUAUUGACUCUUUCACACCCAGACUUGGGUGUCCCAUUAAACCAGGCAACUAUAAAGCAUCAUACCCGCUGAGUGAAGAUGUUUUCAAAUUUGUCCCUGUACCAACUGGAGUUUGGAAAUCUACCAGUCAAGCAUACGAUGGUGACCAACUUGUAUACUGUAGUCAUUUCGAAGUGAA